rnacentral:rRNA from 1 species
GUUUGCCUACGGGACGCAGCAGUGGGGAAUAUUGCACAAUGGGGGAAACCCUGAUGCAGCGACGCCGCGUGAGUGAAGAAGUAAUUCGUUAUGUAAAGCUCUAUCAGCAGGGAAGAAAAUGACGGUACCUGAGUAAGAAGCCCCGGCUAACUACGUGCCAGCAGCCGCGGUAAUACGUAGGGGGCAAGCGUUAUCCGGAUUUACUGGGUGUAAAGGGAGCGUAGGCGGUUUAGCAAGUCAGAAGUGAAAGCCCGGGGCUCAACUCCGGGACUGCUUUUGAAACUGUUGAACUAGAUUGCAGGAGG